AAAGAAAAAGGGAAUGAAGUUCUCCCUCGAAGAGAUUCGAAACCGCUUAUUAAGCUGAUGACUUCUGUGUAAUG
ncrna:unclassified sequences Fluoride riboswitch